AAGACCCAAAUAAGCACAUAAAAAUAACAGAACAUGGAAGAAGCAGAGAGAUGUUGAGCCAUUUUGUGGAUAAGAAAAAUGCUUCACAUACAGGACAUCUGGAAUUUCUCCACAGAAGAGAAACUAGAAGAAGACAAGUCAUUCUCCAGUUUCAAAUUGCAUCUACGCCACUGAAGGCUGAUUAAUCCAUGUUGAACUCCAAACUGGAAGACACGACACAGGAUGGCUACGCUCAAGGAAUUGCAAUAUAAUCAGAAAAGAUAUGCAUCUAACGAUUUCAAGUUACUUGUGAACAAUGGCAAGAUAGUCAUGUAAAACAUUAUGCAGAAGAACCAAAAGACUAUGAAGCAGAAGAAGGAUCCGAGUGAGAAGAAGUUAUACUGAUAUGAAAUUUUUCAAAAAGGUCCAAGCCUUCCUGGCAGCUUCAUUCCCCAGGGUACUUCAGUUCACUCCAGUCUCUGUUCCUGGCACCCUGCUAACCCACAGUUAAUCAGCUAGAGCCCUGCCCUGGUGAGGCUCACAGGCCAGUGGAGGAUGCAGACAAGUGAAGAGGCACUUUGCAGCCCAGGGUUGGUAAGUGCUGUGAUCAGGAAUAUGGAGGGCUCUGAGAACACGCACUGGAGGUGCCUCUAACCCAGACAAGAGGGACUUUCCCAAGGAAAUGGCAUCUACGCUGGACUUGAGCAUGAGUUUGGCGUCAGCCUGCCAGCGUGAGAGUGGGGCUGGGUUGGGGGGUGGUAGGAGUGGGGAGGAGAGUUCCAGAGAGUGCAGCCCUAGUGUGAGAGACAUUGGCACCCUUGGGGCUCUCCAAGUGGUUCAUCCCAGUGGGGCAUAGCAUACAAGAAUUCAAGGAAUUAGGGUGGAGAAUCAGCAGGGUACAUCAUGAAGGACCUAAGGUGCUCUCUAGGGAGUUCGGACUGUUCUUGAAGUGAACGGGAGGCCCCUCCACCUGGGAUCCUGGCCACUCUCUUGGUCUUCCCCUGCGGCUCUGAUGAUUGCCUCCCCUCAUUCUCUCUCAGCUGCCCUUUGGCUGCCUCCACCAGGACAGCCUUGUGUCCAGCUGUAGGGCGUAUAGCUGUGGACACUUGCCUACCUCCCUGUCCCUGGAGAGAAGUACAGGCUUUUGGAUACCCUCUAAGAUUUCUUACCUUAGCACAAAGGAAAUACAGACGUGCAUCUAAGACAUGACAGAGGGGGAAGGGGAAAAUUUCAAGAAAUUUCACAGUGAACGUGGGCCCUGGAAUCUGCCACUAGCCCUAGCUCUUUCUCUAGGCUUUGGUCUUUCCUUCCUCCCAGCCCCAUAACUUCUGUGCCUUCUUUGAUAGUCUAAUUGCAAAGGACCUUGGAAGAUUAUCCAAAACCCCCAUUUUGUGAUUUUUCUCUUGUUCUUUAUAUGAGGCCUAGAAGUACCUUUCUGGGUCGUGACACCCAAGGACCCUUUAUUCAGUUUUCUUGACAUGAAAAGAUAAUCCUUAAUGACACUUAGGGAGACAUGGUUUUGGUCCCUUCUCUGCAGCCUUGACACUUGUCUUGGCAGCUAGGAACCACCCAGAAGCCAGGGAGUUUGUCCAAUGAGAACCAGUUCUUUGGCCUCAGCACGGCCAUUCUCCCAGG